rnacentral:tRNA from 4 species
GCUCGCAUAGCUCAGUUGGUAGAGCGACGCAUUCGUAAUGCGUAGGUCAGCGGUUCAACUCCGCUUGCGAGCUCCA